rnacentral:lncRNA from 1 species
UGGCAUUUAGAAUUUGGAGAGUAUUCUAAGACAUUGAAAUCUACUUAACAGUCAAGAUUACUAUGGAGUACUUCUUGCGAACCUAUUUGAAGGGUAGUUGUAGUUCUGUACAGUACAUUGGACUGCAGGAUAAUGUAACGUUAGAGUAAUUGAAAUAAAAGCAGUUGCUAGCAUUCAGAACCUUACCAGACACAGUCUAAACGCACCAAAUUUUGUCGUGGUGAGGUGUGAAAACAUGAGUAUUAUGUCUAUGGGCAGUGAGCUACUGAGCUGUCAUGCCACAUCAACUAUCAGUCUCUCUGCACCACCUGCAAGAAGGAAGUUGGUCUUCAUUUCAAUCACACUAAGUUUAAUUUGAAGAAUUAUUUGCACCGGGCAUACUGAGGCCUUGUUUAGUUCACCCCAAAAACCAAAAACUUUCAAGAUUUCCCGUCACAUCGAAUCUUGCGGCACAUGCAUGGAGCAUUAAAUAUAGAUGAAAACAAAAACUAAUUGCACAGUUUGCAUGUAAAUCGUGAGAUGGAUCUUUUGAGCUUGGUUAGUCCAUGAUUGGACAAUAUUUACCAAAUAGAAAUGAAAGUGCUACAAUACCUGAAAACAAAAAAAUUUGGGAACUAAACAAGGCCUAAAAAUACUCCUAGUGCUGGACAUGAUGAAUCUUCUAAACUAAUGCACUAAAACCAUAUAAUUGCAAAGUUCAACAAUUUGGUCAGUGUAUAUGGAUAUAUUUGAAACAUUCAUAAGAAUUCUUGUCCACUAUUCUGUAAUCGCCAGUUUGCAAUUCUAAUAAAAAAAACAAAAGGAGCAUAUUUAGGUCAGAGGAUCAGUAGAUCCCACAACAUGAGUCGACUGUAUGUUAUCAUUCAAUCCCUGUCUCGGUGCAAAAGUUAUGUAUGCAAACCCCUAUGUGCUUGAAUCACACAAAACGAGACUUAGUUGUUCCUAGGGAAGGAAAGCACUACAUUGUGGGUAAAUUCCACAUUUCCACUAUCUCUAGACUCAAGAUCCAAGCAGAUAAAAUUCACAAGUCAUAUGAAUGUCAAUUUGCAUUUGCAAGCGCGCACUGAAUCAAUGUAUCCGCAUAGACCGCCAUCAGAAACAGAACAGUGCCAAAUAUCACAUGUCCAUUCAUCCUACUAGAUGAAAGCGUUCCAGUCAAAAAAGCCCUUGGAAUCCCUGAGGACUUUAAAUUCAUAAGGCCUUGUUUGGAUGUUGUCGGAUUCACUUCAAUCCAUGUGUGUUGGUGUGGAUCGGGGUGGAAUUUAGUUCAAGUUCCACUCCAAUCCACCUCAACACAUGUGGAUUGAUGUGAAUCCGACUACAUCCAAACAAGACCUAAGUAGUAUUCUAUAACCUUCCCAUUCAGUCACUAUCAGGACGAUAUCAGUGUCCACUUACAAAUACUGGUUCAUGUAAGUAAACCGACUUCUUCCAAAAAGUAAAAUGAUAUCUAAAGUUAAACCUCAGUCUUUCAGUUUAUCAAUCCAAAAAUGGGUAGUAGUUGCAUUACGUCCGUGCAAGUGCAAUCACGCUGCAACACAGCAAUAACACUUCUCCCUAAUUUCGGGCCCUUUUGGUGCGAUCCUCUCAAACGCAAAGUAAUUUGAACCUAGAUACCUAGAUGACUCGAGUCCUAUACGGGCCAUCGUUAACAGCAGGUCCCGCCCAUCAGAUCGAGCCGAGCGAAAAUGCGCAGUAGCGAGGAGUGUGAGACAGAGAGACGUUACCGAUUCUGAGGUGGGGAUGGACGACUGCGAUCCGGAGUUGCUUUUAUGCCGAUGGCCCGCCGUCACCUCAGACGAGGACGAGUUACUUGCCGCGGCCAGCCGCCAGCGCCACCUUCGUAGUCUCCACCCCCGCUGGCGCCGCGUGGUGUGGGCGGGCUUCGGCAUGGUUGGCGUUCGGCAGAACACGAGGGGCCAAAAACUGCCGAGAAACGCAGACGCGCGUCUUGC